rnacentral:lncRNA from 1 species
UGCCACUCAUGAACACCCUUGAGAGCCGGCACUUCAUGUUGAUUGAUGAAGUUAUCACACACGCGUGUGUACACUCACGAACCAGAACAAGGGAAAAACUCAAACCGGCCCCUGGGUCGUCCUCCUGAGGGACUCAGGAGGCGACUAGGGUUCCCCUCGCGCCGCCACCCCCUUUCCCUGCUCUUCCUCGCCGCCACCUGAGGAUCUCGUCGGGUUUUAUUCCACGGACUCCGGGGAAGGUAGCCGCGAGGCCUCGACCGCUCCGUUCCUGGCGGAGUGUUUCAUAUCUGGGGCGACGGCCCCCAUUGGCGAGGCAACAACGUCUUCUCGAUUGGAGCCGGUUGCGGGCGAUUCUGGUCGGCUCGCUCAACCACGCGGUUGGUGAGCCGUCGACGGGGGCUGGUUGCGGCGUGGAGUCUACUCUCCUCGUCGGAUCUGAGGUAUGGCUCCCUCCUCUUUGUCCCCCUCUGCACCGCCGAUUCCAGCUGCUAGUGUCUCGCAGACGGCGGAUCUGGAGCUGGUGCAUGCUCGGUGCUGAGGCUGGGGACCACGGGAAAUCGUUGGUCGUCUUGACCGGCCCGGCAGCAGCGACGCCCUUGGCGCUGUUCUUCCUUCGUGGAGGUGCAGCCGAGGUUCUCCACUCUCCCCACUCGUUCCCGCUCCUCGGUGAAAGCCCAAAAUUCGGCUAGGAUUGGGCGGCAAUGGUGCGCUUCGUGUCGUGCUCCUCCUUGGAGGUGCCGCUUGGGGAGGGUUCGUGUUCGGGCGUGGGGUGUCCAAGGUCCGAGCUUUCGGUGGCUCAGGGUGUGUGGAGGCCGCGCUUCCGCCUGGAUUUGCAUGGCUGGCAUUGUCUCCGUUCCUCUCAAGGGUGGUGCCCACUAGUUGCAGCGUGCUUGGCUCAAGGCUGGCGGUGCUGCGCCUUUGAUCCGGUUCCCCUUCCCAGCAAUAGCAACAUGCCCCCGGCUGUGUGCUCCCAGUUCUUUUCUUCAACGGCCGACGAGCCUUACUUCUCGGCGUUCUCUGGUCUUCCUUGAUGUUCUUGCUGGCCUUUCUUCAGUAGCUGCCCCCGGUGGCUUUCCCUUAGUUUGCUGGUGUCUUAGGUUGCGAUGGUAUGGUGGAUGUUGUGUGUUCUUUGUCUAAGGGGUUGUGCUCUCUGGCUGCUCCAUGUCUCGCGGUCGCUACCCCCUCUGCUCUAGGGUGAGCGUCUUGCAGGUCUGGUGGUUCGACGCCUUUCGUUCGAAGGCGAGAGGGAAGGGUCCCUCUGCGGCGCGAGAGGAGGAUGCUGCUUGGACUUCUUCAUCUUGGGAGUCCGCCCAGUUCAUGCCAAUUCUCUUUAUCAGGAGGUCCUCGUCCUACUCUUGCUGGUCAUUCCUUGGUACCAGUUUUGCUGUGGCCUUGGGCUAGUGUAAGCAUUGGGCUCGAUGUUUCUUUUCUUUUGUGCUUGUGCACUGCGUUGAGUUGUAAGCUUCCUAGAGUGCUCCCUUGUAUCAUGUGACCGAUUUGGUCUGUGGUGUGUCUGUAUUUUCUAGCCGGUUGAUGGCUUUGUUAAUUCAAAGCCGGGCUCUCCACGAUCCUUCGUAACGUGUCCACUCACUGAACGCACAUUCUGAGGCCUGAAAUAAAUUCAGAAAAAUGCAAGCAACAAUGUCAAGUCUGCUACUUGAAAUCUAAUUGGCAGGGGAUACCUUUGUCCUUCUAACCAUUCAAUCAUAGGUUGGUUUGGAGUGUGGCAAUUGUUAUGAGCUAUGCAUGGAUGAUAUUUGUUGGUAAGUCUCCAGCUCAAACAAAGUGCGUUUGAUCGUUGUGCUGAAUUCCUUGAUGCUGAAAUAGACUUUCAUCCGACUUUAUAGAUAAAUCAGUAAUCUUGUUCAUACAGACAGUUUAAGUGCAAACAGUGAAAAAAAUUGCUCCUCCAACGCACAAACAUGCCCUAAAUAGAAAAAAGGCCAUCAGUGGUUGGAAGAUCUUGGGUGAGUAAAGAUGGUGAACUACGCUGCCUAGACAACGGGCGUCAACGCUGCAAAAAUAUAAGGUAUUCAAGUAUAAAGUCACAAGCCCGUCGUAAAAAGACUUACUCAAUAACCAUCUUGUUACUCGUCAUUCGAAGGGUUUAAGUCAUCCUCACUAGAAGGAACAUCUCUCGGUCCGGUUGGCCCAGGAAUAGAGAAAUCCAACCAGGUUCAUGGCCUCCCCAGAACCUCACGGGAAAGGACCAAAGGAAUCGAGUCGCAGCACAAUCAAAAUCUCUGAGUUCAGUCUGCUAUCUCUCAAUCAUAAGCUAGCACACCCGAUCCAGAGUUUAUUUUAUUACAACUAGCAAAAAAACCCGU